AUGACGCUUAAGAGGAAAGAACGUCUCAUUUAUCUAAAAACAUAUUUCCUCGUUUCUUCUCUCCUCGCGUGGUUUCCUUGCGUCUCUCCAUGUAUCCACGGUGGGAGGGACUAAGACGAAAGGACGCAAGUAGCUGACGACUGUCCUGAGUAUGGAAGAAGAAACGAGACUGGUGCCAGCUGCCAUCUUGGAUCUAGGUGAAGGAAGAGAGAAGAGAGGAGGAAAAACAAGUCAUGAUCACAAGUCAAAGAAAGCCACGAAACCUAAGCCUGGUGUUCUCUUUUGGUAUGGGGCCAGAGGAGCUGAAGUUGUCUGUGGUGUCGUAGGGAGGAUCACUUAGGCAGUGCAGCGUGAUGCUGUGGCUGGCCUCAGUGCUUAGUUUGAAUCACAUCUUACCAUUUCACCACUGCUUCCUUUUGGACCCUUUGGCCCCUGUGGGAAACAAAAGUAAACAUUUUAACCUUUGGUUAACACCACAGUCUCUAACCUUUGGUCCUGGAAAGCCGUGCAAACCAACCAUUCCCAGAUCUCCAGAUUCCCCCUGUAAGCAGAGAGGGCUGCUCCAGACACAGUGGAACACACCCCCUCCAGGCCUUUGAUACCUGAUGGUCCCCUGUCUCCUGGCAGGCCUGACUCCCCCUGAACCAACAAAGGUGGUCCUAUUUCUCCAGGCAGUCCAGGAAGUCCAAGCUCUCCCCUGGGACCUGGACGUCCAGCAGGUCCCUCCUUGCCCAGCAAGCCUCUC